CGGAUGAACGCUGGCGGCGUGCCUAACACAUGCAAGUCGAACGGACCUUGCUCAACAGAGGUACUUGUACCGAAGGAGAGCGCUGGUUAGUGGCGGACGGGUGAGUAACACGUGGGUAAUUAACCUUCCGGACCGGGAUAACAUCGGGAAACUGGUGCUAAUACCGGAUACGAUUCACGGGCGGCAUCGCCUGUGGAUGAAAAGAGGCCUCUCGAAGAAGCUCCUGCUGGAAGACAAGCCCGCGGCUGAUUAGCUAGUUGGUAAGGUAACGGCUUACCAAGGCAACGAUCAGUAGCCGGCCUGAGAGGGUGAACGGCCACACUGGGACUGAGACACGGCCCAGACUCCUACGGGAGGCAGCAGUUGGGAAUCUUCGGCAAUGGGCGCAAGCCUGACCGAGCAACGCCGCGUGAGUGAUGAAGGUUUUCGGAUUGUAAAGCUCUGUCUUCCGGGACGAUAAUGACGGUACCGGAGGAGGAAGCCACGGCUAACUACGUG
rnacentral:rRNA from 1 species